GAGAGAAGAGAAAAAAAAAUUGUGAGAGUGAGAUUGAGUCGUAAAGUAUAUGAAGUCCAUUUACUGACGCAAGAGAAGUGGAAGAAGUAUCAAUGUAAUUGUUGAGUUUUAAUUAACGACUUGAAUUGGAAAACAAUUAACCAACAAUCAACGAAUAUUGUUCAUCGUAAUUCGCAAUUAAAUCAGUGUUUUUUCUUGUAUUUAUCAUCGAUUGUCUCUCUACAUUAUCAUGAAUCAUUCUCACUGUUUCUCUCUCUCACUUUGUCGAUAUAAUUUUUUUUCUGGUGAAAAGUGAUUCUUGUUAAUUGAGUUAAUUGAGUUUCAUAUGUAAAUGCAUGAUUGUGAUGGUCAAGACAGUUUGAUUGUCCAUUGAAUUUUCAUUUCCAUUGAAAACAAAAUUCUAUUCAUUUAAUUGUUUCACAAUCUUAAUUCUCCAUCAUCUUCACCAACAUGAAAUCAUCUUCUUCAUCAUCUUCUUCCUCUCUCAUUGUCAUGCGCAUCUUUUUAACCUCAUCGACAUUUUCACCUUCCCAAAUCAAUCUCAAUGUUCAUCAUCAUCAUCACCAUUUCCAUCCCGAAUAAUCAACUGUAAUUACACCAACAUCUUAAAUUGUAAUUAGUACAACUUGUGAUUCUUUUGAUGAACCAUUUUCAUUUUCUCUCUAUUACCAAAUAAGUGAUAAUUUUUGUGCAAAACGGAUAACAAAACCAUCACCAACUUUCAGCAUCUCUUUUAGCAUCCUCAUCAUCUCGAUCCACCACCAGAUCUUUCAGAUGAAAAUGGUUAACAUAAUCGCUGAUUGAUUCACGACCAAUUGGAUAGAGUGGAUUAGCUGGAUAAAGAGAUUUGUUUAUACAUAAAUAGGACAUUUUCAGAUGGGCUCUUCUUUUCACCAUUCAACUAUAUUAGUUGAUUCAUUUCGAGCUUGAAGAGAAAAUCAAUUUGUACAUUUGACAGGAGAACAUUUUAAAUAUCGAUAAUGUCUUUUUCCUAUCGAUAAGUUUCUAUACUUUAAUUGUGGAAUCGAUAAUAAUCAUUUUAGAUGAACAAAAUUGAUUGUUUACGAUUCGAGAUUAUACAUGUUAGGUUACGGAAGAUUAAUCAAUCGACGGGAAAAUUAAUGGCCUAAGAAUCCGUUCUUAUAGACUCGUGGCAUAGAUAUUAAUAUAUCAUCUUGAAAAUACAAAAUCAACAUAGGAAUCUAUGGGAAUGUGAUAACAUUUAAUUGAUGGAAACAGGUAAAAACCUUGAACUGGAUUAGUUAAUGAUUUUGAGUCAAUUAUGAAAUAACAAUGAAUUGUUUCACAUGAAUGAAAAACUUGAACGUUUUUUUUUUGAUCAAUUAGUUGAUUGUCAAUUCUAAUCACUGUAAAUCUUUUGCACCUCAUCAAUUUAAACAUGAUACAAGUCUCGCAAUUUUAACACCUCAUUAACAAUAUUAUGAAUACCAAUGGGUGAUAAUGUUAUUACAUAAACUGUCGGUGAUAAUAACUCUUGGAAUUAUUAAUCACCUUAUACACCAGUUAAUCAUCUCAAUCCUUUUUCUAUGUUAAUCACCGUAAAUCACAAUAAAUUAACAACAAUUGAAGAUGAUCCGCCAUCCCAACAGGAGAUUUAACCGGUUAUCCACCUGGAGAUGACCAAAAUGACCAAUGGUGACCCAAAGAAAAGUCAAACGAGCAAAAAAAAGGAAAGGUAAGUAAACCUUUUUUUGUUCAUUCUCGAACUACAAACCCAAUGAAAUUUAGAUUUAUAAAUGUAACUCGAAACUUUGUACAAACAAUUAACUGAUUCAAUGAUUCCAAUGGAAAUUGAUUUAUCAUCUGUUGAUAAUGAUGAACAAUUAACAGCAGAUUAAUUGCAAUUAAUAUUUUUAUCAUUCUCUCUCCUUUAUUAGUACAACUGUUUUCAACAAUUGAAACUCUAAUCAACAUCUCUGAUCAACUAUAUUAUCCAAUGUUACCAAACAAUUGACUGAUCAUCAGACUUAACAAUUAAGCUAAUCAAUCAGAUGAUCACCUUGAUAAUCAACUAAUAACUUGUGAGAAAAUAGACUCAUCUGCUUAUGGAUAAUCAAAGAGACGAAAAUAUCAAUUAAACCAAUUCGAAUUUUUUUUUCUCCAAAUUCUAAAAUAAUCAAUCAUCAUCAUUUCGACGUGUUACCUGUCACACUAUUCAUCCUGAUUCCAAGCAUUCGGAGCAGAAACUUUUCUAUCUUCACCCUGAAAGUUAAUUUCUCUCUCUCUCUCUCUCUCUCUCUCUCUCAUCAUCAUCAUCAUCUCAUCUUCAAUGGAUUAAAUUGCUGUUUGAUUCCUAAUUCCUAAUCAAUUGGUUACCAGCGAUUAUAAUUAUUGAUGAAGUGAAAAAUUUACUAUUCUCACAAACUUAUUUUCGCGGUUGAAUAUUUCUUACCUUCUCUCUCUUUUCAUCAUCAUCAUCAUCAUCAUCAUUAGUAUUUUCUCUUUCUUUUUACCUUUUCCUCUUUUCCUCUUCUCUUCUUCUCUCUCACUAAUGACUUGCAAACUAAAGCCAUUAAAUAAACAUCUCUAAUGAGCAUCUUUCCUUACACAGUGUAACUACCUGGAUAAAAAGUUUUCCUUAAAUAAAAAAUUAUUAACUCUCAAUGUAAUUAUUAUGAUAAUUUUUUUCUUCUUCUUCAAUCUCUGUGUUUGUUUACCCAGGGAAACCUGAAUCUCCGUGCAAAAUCAUG